GCUUGAUACAACAAUUACUGUGAAAUGAGGAACAGUGACAAGAUUUCAGCAAUGGAAACAUCUUCCAGGAUACUGGAGGAUAUAAGGAUGGGAAGACUCUCUGCUGUUAAUUGUUCUGGGAAAGUACCUGUGAUUGUUUUUCCUUACCUUCUAACCAGUAUGAUAAAAAGAAGCAAACGGUAC
rnacentral:lncRNA from 1 species